AGCUUUGUGCAGUGGCAGUAUCGAUCGUAGCCAAUGAGGCUUAUCCAAGGCAUGAUUAUUGCUAACUGAAAACAUAAAUUAGUUGUGUGACAAGUUAAAUAGCCUUCUAGAAC
rnacentral:snRNA from 1 species